AGUGAACGCUGGCGGUAGGCCUAACACAUGCAAGUCGAACGGCAGCACAGUAAGAGCUUGCUCUUACGGGUGGCGAGUGGCGGACGGGUGAGGAAUACAUCGGAAUCUACUUUUUCGUGGGGGAGAACGUAGGGAAACUUACGCUAAUACCGCAUACGACCUACGGGUGAAAGCAGGGGAUCUUCGGACCUUGCGCGAUUGAAUGAGCCGAUGUCGGAUUAGCUAGUUGGCGGGGUAAAGGCCCACCAAGGCGACGAUCCGUAGCGGGUCUGAGAGGAUGAUCAGGCAAACUGGAACUGAGACACGGUCCAGACUCCUACGGGAGGCAGCCGUGGGGAAUAUUGGACAAUGGGCGCAAGCCUGAUCCAGCCAUACCGCGUGGGUGAAGAAGGCCUUCGGGUUGUAAAGCCCUUUUGUUGGGAAAGAAAAGCAGCAGGUUAAUACCCCGCUGUUCUGACGGUACCCAAAGAAUAAGCACCGGCUAACUUCGUG
rnacentral:rRNA from 1 species